rnacentral:rRNA from 1 species
UACGAAGGGGGCUAGCGUUGUUCGGAAUUACUGGGCGUAAAGCGCACGUAGGCGGUUAUUUAAGUCAGGGGUGAAAUCCCAGAGCUCAACUCUGGAACUGCCUUUGAUACUGGGUAUCUCGAGUAUGGAAGAGGUGAGUGGAAUUCCGAGUGUAGAGGUGAAAUUCGUAGAUAUUCGGAGGAACACCAGUGGCGAAGGCGGCUCACUGGUCCAUUACUGACGCUGAGGUGCGAAAGCGUGGGGAGCAAACAGG